UGUAGCAGUUGUUUGAUCGCUGUGUUUGAUUUCGCAGAGGAAAGUCCGGGCUUCAUGUAAGCAAGGUGCCGGAUAACGUCCGGCGUCAAGGAUUGGAAAGUUCUUGAUAGGGAAAGUGCAACAGAAAAUAUACCGCCUUCUUUCGAAGGUAAGGGUGAAAUGGUGACGGUAAGAGCGCACCGCACAUUUGGUAACGGAUGUGGCACGGCAAACCCCAUCUGAAGCAAGACCAAAUAGGAGCGACGCGAAGAAAUUCGUGAGAGCUUGCACUCAUAGGUCGCUCGGGUAGGUCGCUUGAGCUCAUUGGUAACAAUGAGCCUAGAUGAAUGAUCAAACAGAGGAAAUAUCCUCGGACAGAACCCGGCUUAUAGGCUGCUACACCGU
rnacentral:RNase_P_RNA from 1 species